rnacentral:tRNA from 1 species
UCUUCCGUAGUAUAGUGGUCAAUGCAAGCUUGUCACGCUUGAGACCCGGGUUCAAUUCCCGGCGGGAGAG